AGUUAUCCAGUGUUCCUUCCUGACUGAUCUUGUUCUCUGACCUUGCCUCGCCUCGCCUCAUGGAUUUUGCCUGCCUGCUCCUUGUCUGACGGAUUGAAUUUCUGGAUUUUGACUCUGUUUUCUGCCUCUGGUUUUAUGCCUCUGCCUGCCCCUUGUCUGAUGCCUCUAGCCCUGGAAUUCGACCCUGUUUCUGUCCUUGGACUCACGCCUCAGCCUAACCACUGGUUUAUUCACCCUGAGCCCCCAUGGCUCUCAAGUCCACCUGGAAUUAUUGUCAAGAGGACAAUCGCAGCUCUCUGUGUUCCUGCCAUAGCUUCAGCUGAUUCCCCUGAGGAUUUGGAUCAGUCAGCAAUCCGACUUCAGUCUUUUGGACGCUUCCUCAUUAAUUGUCUGGAUCAUUUCCUCCUCUGGAUUCUGUGCCUCAUCCCCAGACUGAGAAGUAGUUCCUGGAAGCUGACUGCUGUUCUCCUGCUCUCUGAUCCUGAGUUGCUGAAUAAACCUUUUUACUUAUCACUUUGUGUUUGGCUGAAUUUGGGUUCUCUAUCUCUGGUCGUGAUUAAAAAAAUGACUUGCGAAGUCCUAUUAAUACUUUCA